rnacentral:rRNA from 1 species
GACGUAGGGCGCGAGCGUUGUCCGGAUUUAUUGGGCGUAAAGAGCUCGUAGGCGGCUUGUCGCGUCGACUGUGAAAACUCGGGGCUCAACUCCGAGCUUGCAGUCGAUACGGGCAGGCUAGAGUUCGGUAGGGGAGACUGGAAUUCCUGGUGUAGCGGUGAAAUGCGCAGAUAUCAGGAGGAACACCAAUGGCGAAGGCAGCUCGCUGGGACGGUACUGACGCUGAGGCGCGAAAGCGUGGGGAGCAAACAGG